GAACUGCUGAGGAGUUCCACAAUAGGACGAAACGGUCGUCCAGUGC
rfam:Schistosoma mansoni strain Puerto Rico chromosome 6, complete genome